rnacentral:rRNA from 1 species
CUACGUGCCAGCAGCCGCGGUCAUACGUAGGGUGCAAGCAUUAUCCGGAGUGACUGGGCGUAAAGAGUUGCGUAGGCGGUUUAAUAAGUGAAUAGUGAAACCUGGUGGCUCAACCAUACAGACUAUUAUUCAAACUGUUAAACUCGAGAAUGGUAGAGGUAACUGGAAUUUCUAGUGUAGGAGUGAAAUCCGUAGAUAUUAGAAGGAACACCGAUGGCGUAGGCAGGUUACUGGGCCAUUUCUGACGCUAAGGCACGAAAGCGUGGGGAGCGAACCGGAUUAGAUACCCGGGUAGUCCACGCCGUAAACGAUGGAUACUAGCUGUUGGAGGUAUCGACCCCUUCAGUAGCGAAGCUAACGCGUUAAGUAUCCCGCCUGUGGAGUACGGCCGCAAGGCUAAAACAUAAAGGAAUUGACGGGGACCCGCACAAGCGGUGGAUUAUGUUCUUUAAUUCGAUGAUAACCGAAGAACCUUACCAGGGCU